rnacentral:lncRNA from 1 species
UGAGGAAUGUCAUACAUCCAAGGUCUAAUGUUAGAUAUGAUUAUAUGUUAGACUUUUUCUUUCUUGAAAUCAGUGCACACAUGCUUGAAUUUAUUGGCAAGAGGAUGAUUUUAGAGAAUGAGAGUCAUUUGGAAUGGUUUGGAAGACUGGGACCGGCACAUGGGUACUACAAUCCUCAAAGCAGACGUAAUAUGUGAGUGUCAAGAUGAAACACAAUAUAUCAAAAAUUUUGCCCCGGUUUUGUGUUUAGGAAAAUGAGUUGGGGUUUGGAUCCAUGAAAAUUAGGGUGACACAAAAUCAAGUGAGACUUGCAAAGUUACCCCAGUCAUGGGAUUAUGGAUUGAUGAAAAUUUUGUGUGAGACUCACAAAGCUGCCCUAGUUUUUUUAUCGUGGUAUGGGUUGAUGAAAAACUCGUGUGAGGUUCACAAAGUUUCCCUAGUUUUUCUUCGGCAAGGGGUUCAGUUUGGAAGAGGUAGUGGACAUGUACAGGAUAGGCUAAAAGGGUGGCCCCCAAUUGGUUUGAUUUUUCUUUUUGCAUGCUUCUGGCUAGUUGGCAAGGAGAUCCCCUCUUCUUGAGACAUUGAUUUUUUCUUUUUUUCUCUCUUUUUUUUUCUUCUCUUCCGUUUUUUUUACGACACAUUGAAAGUCAUUUCCCGUUAUCGCAAAAUUAAGCUUUAUGAAAAUUUUAGCAAACAUUAUCCAAUCUGCGUGGACUUUAUUAGGCUUGUAGCGUGGCUAAGAGCUAAAAGGUAUUAGAAGAAAGGUUAUAAAGGCCCAAAU